GCAGUGGUGGUUCAGUGGUAGAAUUCUUGCUUCCAUGCUAGAGACCUGGGUUUGACUCCUGGCCAGAGCA
rnacentral:tRNA from 1 species